UUUGGAAAAUGCCUAAAAGGAUCAUAUAGCCAAAUAAGAACAUAAUUUUUUUAGGAGAUUACGGAAAAUUUUUGUUUUGUCUUUAUGUUUUAAUGUAGCAUCUGCAAUAGAAUAAUAAAGUAUUUAAAAUAUAGUUUACUGCAUGCUAAACUGAUAUUCUGUAUACAUUCUUAAUUACUGAGAUUUCUACUAACCUAAAGAUCACUUAUAAUAAUACUGCUACCCGAAUUUUGUGACACAGAAAAUGGCAUUUUGUUUCAGAAGCUUCUAGAAAGGCAUGAUGUCACUUUGGGGGCUUGGGAUGAGUAUUUUGAGGCUAACUUUAAGGAAUCUGUGUGUGUGUGUAUGUUUGAUGUGCAGCUCCUGUUCUUCCUGGGGCCUAUCAGCAAAGCCAUUCCCAAGGCUAUGGCUACAUGCACCAGACCAGUGUGUCAUCUAUGAGGUCAAUGCAGCAUUCACCAAAUCUAAGGACCUACCGAGCUAUGUAUGAUUACAGUGCCCAGGACGAAGACGAGGUCUCCUUCAGGGAUGGUGACUACAUUGUCAACGUGCAGCCCAUUGAUGAUGGCUGGAUGUACGGCACGGUGCAGAGAACUGGGAGGACGGGGAUGCUCCCGGCAAAUUACAUCGAGUUUGUUAAUUAGUUAUUUCUCCUUGUCCUUCGAGCUUUAUUCUAAUGUAUUCUAAACCUACUCUUUUUAAAAGAUAGAAGAUACUUUUAAGACACCUUGGCAGUUAUUUUACGAUGAUGUAUCCUUACUUUGACAAUUAGACACACAGGUACCAGGGAGAAGGAACGAGUUCUGGGUUGAAAAUGGUAACAUUUUUAGCAGUUCCUAGAAACAAAAGUCUUUACAUCUGGAGACCUGGUGCUGCUAAUUGAGUUUGUGGUUUCCUUUGAUUGGCUAUUGAACCCUUCUGGAAAAAUGUAUUUUUGUAGACUUUAAUAGCGAUGAUGAUUGUCCUUUAGAUGUCACGAGUGUAUGAAACUUCUUAGCUGUCACUUUGGAAUCACCAGAAGCCAAUUCUCUUAACUCAGUAAUGCAGCCAAGAAUUUAAAACCUGUUUCGCUUUUGAGUUGUUAGGUAAUUUCCAAUUCAAGUGAAAAUCACCUAAUAUAAUAAAUGUAAGCAGUGGCAGAAGGACAGUCUGGUUAAAAUUAUAUUGACUGAUGGCCUUAGGGAUCAAGAAACUUCUACUGAGAACAGAGAAAUUUCCUCAUCCCCAGGGCCGACUAGAGUCUAUUUAUUUCUCAUAUGUACCAAGGCAUCUUCUACUCUCCAUCUGCUGUCUAUGGACCCAAAUAUGCGCUCAGUUCCGCAGAAUGUCAGGACCAAAUAACUUCACAGCUACUCUGCAAAGGGCAAAUUUUAGUGUCAUCAAUAUAGUUUCCCUAGUAGCCUGUACCCUGUUGCAUGUCAUGUAGAUUCCAGCUUCUGUAACAUAGGCAGCUGCACUGCCCAUCCCUGUUAUUAAAGCAAAAAGGGUGACUGGUACCUAAAAGCCCUUUCCUCUAGCUGCCAGCUCAUCAGAAAAACAUAUUUUGAAAAGUCGCUUGAAAUUUUCCUGCUGCAUUGCACUCUAAUUUUGAAGGACUCACACCAUAGGAAAUACAUCUACUCUAGUAAAUAACUGAUUUAGGUGUUUAUUGAACAGCUUUCAUUAACUUAAUGCCACCAUUGAUUUAAAAGUGAAGGAAAUUUAACAGGAUCCAAUGGAAUAAGGGAAUGUGGAGUACACUGGGGAAAAAAAAAACCAGCAAACAAAAAGUUACCAAUUACAUUUUCUGGAAUGAAAAUCUAGCCACUGAAACUGGUUCAUCAAAAGACUUCCUUUCCACUUUCCGGGUUUUAUUUUCUAAAUCACCUUCAUGGAAUGAGAUGGGAAUGUCAUCAGAGAUUUUUCAGUGCAGUCCUGAUAGGCUGUUUACUAAAAAAGAAAUUGUUGUCAUGUUUUGAUUUUCAAAUGAGUGACUUUGCAGGCUUUUGCUAGAUUUGCAGUGCUGUGGGUCUUGAGAUUUCACGCAGAGCCUGCAGUCAAGAUCACCGAGACAUUGACGCCCAUCAGGAACUCUGUGUUUUUCUGAUUGUGUCCUUUAAUGUGACCUGCAACAGGGUAGCAUUCAUUUAGGGUAAGACAUGAUAGUUGUGAUGAGACCGAAAAAGCAAAAUUACCAAAAUGUACUAAAGUAUUAUGGGUCUUGGGAAUAUCUACCUUAUAUGAUAUAGUCAAGGAAAUUAACAAAACAUCCUGUAAAACAUUUUAUUGAAAUGUUUACUAGUCCAAAGGCCAAAGCUGAUUCAUUUACACCUUUGAAAAGUUAGUACAUACUUUUGAAAUCUGUAGUUUCAUUUUAUUAGACUAAAAGAACAAAUAAGCUUUAUUACACCACAGCUGCAUCUACAUGACAUUGACAUAAAAUUGAAAAAAAAUUUCAGGCAAAUAACUAGAGAUUUUUUUGGAGGUGGUUUUACAGAUUACCAAAUAACCAGCUUGACUGAUAUUUCUCUCAUUGAAAUAGCCAGUCAUGAUUAAAUUGAUUAAACCCUAUACCUGUUUUGAUGUCUUGUACAGAAACCUAUAAAUACAAACUGAACUUGCAAUUUUUUUGCAAAAAAAUCUGUGCAUUAGAACAGAGGGCAAUAAGUCUGCUCAAUUUUAUUAUAUUAAGUAUGUAUUUACAGUUCACCCAGACAGGCCUUUUUUUGUGAUGAUAAAAAAAGAUAGUUGUUGAUUAAAUUUUCAGACCAAGUGUAGGACGGGUACAAUUUUUGAGAAAUAGCACAUUUGUAGGAAGUGCAAAGGAAACUGACUUCAAAUAAUGCUUGUGAUCAGGAAAGUUACCAUAAGGUAACAGCUUGAUAUUUCAUGUUUUCUUAUUCACCGAUUCCAAAAUUAGAUUCAUUAAAUAUAAAAGUCAAUGCAUAUUUGGGAAAUAAUUCUCCCAAAGUUUUAAGGUUCACAUGUUUGUGUAGCAAGAUGUGUCUGCUUCUAGUCAUUAGAAAUUGACAUCUGAUUACAAUUUAACUAGAGGGCAGUUAUUUUACAACAAAGAUGCAGGCAGGACAGGGCGCUACGUGCUCUUGAGGUCAUAAUUUGAUCGUGUUGGCAGUUGUUAUUAAAACUUGUGAGGAUACUUAAGCAUCUCAGCAGAAAUAUUGGAAACACAUAUGUAUCAUACCAAAGUGCUAUUUUUAUAGCUUCAUUUUUUAAAACUACAUUCUUGAACAACUUCUCCACUUUCCUCAUGCCUUUUUCCCACCGUCAAUUUGGCAACACUUUCCUUAUACGUAAUGCUGACAGCUCAAGAAGAGUGUAAAAACAAGUCUUUUGAAAAUCAAGUUAAAGGUGACUGUGUAAAUGCCCAAGCACAGAGAGCAUUGCAGCUGCUUUUCUAAAGUCGAUGUGUUCUCAAGCCUGACAAAAGCACAAGGAGCAGUUUGAUACACUUUUAAAAGACUCUGGAAACAAAACUGUAUGUGAAUCAUCUCUCUUUUGAGCAAAGUAGAGCAACAGAGUAUAUUGCUUUUGUCAGAGGCUUUUGUAGUACAUGUUUUUACUGAUAAUUCUUGUUCUCUAGAAAGCUUUCUAUUUCUAAACCACAGCAAAAUGAAUUCUUCAUGUCUUUGUGUUUUUGUUUACACACCCACCGUGUAGCCCAGUUUGAAAUAUUUAUCUGGUUGUCAGAUCUCCAUGGAGGCCCUACCUAUUACCAAGCCUCCUUGACAUCCACAGACCACACAGGAAUUUGUAAGCACAAUUUCCACAAGCACCUUGUGUGAAGAUGGAUGAGGUUAGACUAGUCCCCUCUGGUCACUAGGCUCAUGGCUUGAAGAAGAUGAAGAUCUGGUUUUGCUAGAUCUACCACAGUCUUUCUUUCCUUAUCCACUCAGUGUUGAGCUUUACAACACUUUGGGAAUUAGGAAGAAAGGAGACUUUUCUAAAACAGAUAGUGGAAGCUCAAGUGGUGUACCUCAUUUUCAGAUUCAUUUGUCUCUGGUGGAAUUUUUUUAAUGAAGAGAUAAAGAAAAUGUGUGUGAUCUUUGAAUAACACAUCCCUGUAGAAAGUGGAUAAAGUUUAUACCAAAAUUAUUAUACAGAUAGAUAAAAAAAAUAGGUGCCUUUUAUGAUUACCCUGGUUUAUCCAUUAAGGUCUUAGAAAGAAAAACCAAGCAAACAAGCUUCUGCCUAUUCUAUAGUAAUAUUUUAUUAUACAUGAUUGAUAUUUUUGUGGUAGGGAAGGGAUCCUCCUGACAGAUAUUAAAGGUGGUGGCUGAUUGUAUUUUACUCUAAAGGUUUAGAACUUUAAAAAAAUGUUGACUUCUUCCAUCUCUUUCUGAAAGGUUCUUUGUGGAUUUAUAUAUACAGUUGAGAUGAAUAAACAUUAACUUUAGAUUUGAGAUUUGAAAUAUCUAUUGUAAGAUAGAAUAGUUAUGUUAUGAGAUCAGAUUCACUACACAAGAUGAACUUCACUUCAUAUGUUGACUAUACCUUAACUAUUUGCUUCUGAUGGUAAUAAUAAUAAUAAAAGGCUAGAUUGUGGUUGCUUUGGCUAACAUGACAUGGAGGUGAGAGAGUUUUAGUUAAGUUAGAAACCAUGUCAACCAACUUAUGGAUGUUAAAAUAAAAGUCUCUUUUUGAAGUAUUCCGUCCUCUUGUGGACCAUUUCCAGACAACAAACUGUCAACUGUUGUUGAUGGAAAAAGUCAAGGCAUGUAUGUUGCUGCAGUGGUCAUCAUUCCAUGAUGCUUAGACUACUGGAUUCCAUAAGCCUGGAAGGAUCCCUGGGCAAAUCUCCUCCCCAGUUGUUCAUAUUACUUCAAUGUGUUCAUGGAAAUUCUGUAUGCUUUUUGUGUUUGCUACAUGGUAUCCAGUUUGCAUAGUAUAUACUUCUUUAUAAUCCAGUUGCUGUUAAGAAUGAUUUACUUUAAAGGAAAAGAGAAACUGCAUCACUGUAUCAGUCUCAUUCUUCAGUGUCCAUAGGAUAAAUUCCUGAGCAUUUGGGAAGCAACACUAAGUGUAUAAGGGGCAUGAUGUGAAGCUGUUGAUCUUUGACCUGUGAUAAAAAUUGCAAAAUUGAACCAUUGUGCACUUUGACUUCUAUUUACUUCAAAAUAAGUAGAGUUGUGGCUGAUGAUUAAUCUGUAAGACUGUAUUAACUUUGGGAGCCUAACAGUUUUGAAGAAAACAUGUCAUGCUUUCAAAUGAAGGGGCUUACAGAACGAUAUGAUGUUAUUAAUAUAAUCUGGCUUUUGUUAUGCAAAUUGUUAACACCAGCUAUUAAAAUAUAUUUUAGUAGAAAUGCUUUAAUUCAUGUUUUUUUCCUCUACACUGUGAAUCUUUAAGCCUUGGUGGACUAGAGCAACAUCGUGCUGCCCAAAGGACUUAACCUAUGCAAACUAGUUCACAUUUUAGUGGAUGUUGCAGUUAAUGUGUAAUAAGACAUUAUUUCCCCUGCACAAUGUACAACAGCAUUGAAAUAACACAUAAGCCUGGCAUUAUGUAUGUAUAGUAGAGUCACUAACAAACUCUUCAAGGCUACCAUCAUCAUUAGUAUUAAGAUUUGUUUAAACGGAAAUCACUGAUUAAUCUAUUGCAACUACUUGAACGAUGUCAAAAUAAGAAUGGCAGAUGGACAUGCUGACCAUGGCUUACAUGUGGUCCCUGCAAGUGUCUCCUGCGAUAGAAGUGCGUUCUCAGAUACAAUCUCUUCAGGGUCUUAAUAUUUUGUGUCUUCUUUCUGUAUUUGUAAAACAUUAUAACACAUUAAUUUCCUAUCUCUACACAUUUGGUUUGCUUAAAUAAAUGCAGGAUAUAACAAAAUGGUUC